UGGCGGAGGAGGAGGAACAUGGGCAGCGUCGGCGGCGCCGGUGGUGAACAGAGCGCGAGCGGCGGAGCGGGCGGGGGCAGGCGGCGGCGGCCUCUCGCUCUCGGGCUUGGGUAAGAGCAACCUGAACUGUCUUACAGUCUGUACUACCCUGAGAUACAAUAGUAAGCCUGUACUCUGUACCACACUCAGAUAUAAGUCUGUACUAUUAUGCUGUCCAUAGACAUACAAGUAGAAUGUUGCAAUGCUUGGCGCAUUGCGGUGCAUCCCAGUAAACUCUGAUUCAGACACCAAGUUUUUCUCCGGCCAUUUGCUUAUUGAUUGUGUAAAGAAAAAUCUUACUAAUGUGGCUAUUGUAUACCAUAGAUGUCACGGCCUGCAUUGCAGUUUCACACCACAAUCCCAACCAGUGCGUAAAUGAGUUUGUUGAAUUUGUAGAUGAUAUCUGAUAGCACUACAUCUGUUACCCAAUAUCUAUAGUACUUUGACAGAUUGGCAUGCCCUUUUCUGUUUACAUAUUUGCUUGUACAAUAAUAUAACCUUUAAGCUGAUGAAUAGCCGGUUCGGCCGUUCCUGGUGCUUGCUUAUCCUGGGGUUAGGAGGAAGAGGAAGAGCUCAUCUCAUGCAAGGUCAUCUCGCCGAAGCACACUUACAACUUACAAGCUGUGGCCGUAGCCACACCUGUUCUACAGCGCCAGUAAUGGAAAGGCCAUUCCCAAAUUCUGACACCUCAAUCUCAAUAUGUGUACAUAUCACCAGGUAAUAGAGGAUGUUCCCAAACAAAUGCAAGAUGUGCAUGAGAAACAAAUGAGUAAUUACAGAGUUGAUAGCUUAGCAGCUGAGGUGAUCCUCCUAUCGUAAACUCUUUAUGCAGAUGGUACUUAUCAUUGUACCAGAUCUAUCAAUCUUGUUCAUGAGGCAACAAAUCUAGCUAUUGACGGUAAUAACGUACUUACAGGCUUUCAUAUCAAUGCCUCAUUAGCGUACAUCAUAGAUAAGUAAGCACUCU
rnacentral:lncRNA from 1 species